CGAGCCCGGAGAUAGCUGGUUCUCCCCGAAAUAGCUUUAGGGCUAGCCUCAAGGUGAGAGAUACGGAGGUAGAGCACUGAAUGUCCUAGGGGGGAUUGCACCUACCGAAGACUAUCAAACUCCGAAUGCCGUCAUCUUAUACUUGGGAGUCAGACUGUGGGUGAUAAGAUUCAUAGUCGAAAGGGCAACAGCCCAGAUCGUCAGCUAAGGUCCCUAAAUGUAAGUUAAGUGGUAAAGGAUGUGGGAUUGCACAGACAACCAGGAUGUUGGCUUAGAAGCA
rnacentral:rRNA from 1 species